rnacentral:misc_RNA from 1 species
GUGCCGUCCACCGAACGGUCGGCAGGCGAUCCGCGUCGGUCGGUCGGGGGGGAGGGUUCCCCAAAGGCCGGUUUUUGGGUUGCCUCCCCCUUCAGGGGAAGAGGGCCACUUGAUGUAAGCCUCCAUCCGGCGCCUUCCAAUGGGCGCAGGAGGACAACGGAGCACCCCCCGCGUUCCACCGAGCCUUCUCGGGUGCGGGGGCCCGGGGGGAACUUGGAUGUUUUUGGACCCCGGGAAACCCUGGGGGGAGGAAUCCGUUCCCGUUCCCAAAAGAAGCUUCGGAGUAAUCCAGGAGGCCCGUCCCCCCCCCCCGUCCGCCCCGGCGGCGCGAGGGCGAGGCGCGGCGUCGCGGAGGAAUGCUACCUGGUUGAUCCUGCCAGUGUCAUAUGCUCAUUCCA